UACAGAGGGUGCGAGCGUUGUUCGGAAUUAUUGGGCGUAAAGGGCGCGUAGGCGGUGCGGUAAGUCACCUGUGAAACCUCUGGGCUUAACUCAGAGCCUGCAGGCGAAACUACCGUGCUGGAGUGUGGGAGAGGUGCGUGGAAUUCCCGGUGUAGCGGUGAAAUGCGUAGAUAUCUGAAGGAACACCAGUGGCGAAAGCGGCUUCCUGGUCCAGUACCGACGUUCAGGCACGAAAGCGUGGGGAGCAAACAGG
rnacentral:rRNA from 1 species